UACGUAGGGGGGCUAGCGUUGUCCGGAUUUAUUGGGCGUAAAGAGCGUGUAGGCGGCCAUGUAGGUCCGGUGUGAAAACUCGAGGCUUAACCUCGAGAUGUCAUCGGAAACCAUUUGGCUAGAGUCCGGAAGAGGAGAGUGGAAUUCCUGGUGUAGCGGUGAAAUGCGCAGAUAUCAGGAAGAACACCAAUGGCGAAGGCAGCUCGCUGGGACGUGACUGACGCUGAGACGCGAAAGCGUGGGGAGCGAACAGG
rnacentral:rRNA from 1 species